AAGUCGUAACAAGGUUUCCGUAUUGAACCUGCGGAAGGAUCAUUAACACGUAUCCAACGUUAAACAACCCUGUGAACUUUCAGACGCUCUUGUAGCCCAGGCGGAACAGCAAUCCCGGUAAAUCAAUGGCGGAAAAGUUUUUGAUUCGGGACCUCUGUCCAAUGACGAGCUAGAGCAGUGGCAUGGUUUCCCUCAGCAGAGCAAAAAGAUCCACUGAGUAAGGAUAACGCAUCAUGGUUGCCAGAGGUCGAUCACCGGCCGGCAGACAUGUCACAGGGCGAGAUGCUUCAUUCACCCCUUGCCUAAAACUAGCCCCGCGGAAACGCUGGGCACAAAAACCGAACAACUGUUAACAAAGGAUAUCUUGGUUCUC
rnacentral:misc_RNA from 1 species